rnacentral:rRNA from 1 species
UACGAAGGGGGCUAGCGUUGUUCGGAUUUACUGGGCGUAAAGCGCACGUAGGCGGCUAUUUAAGUCAGGGGUGAAAUCCCGGGGCUCAACCCCGGAACUGCCUUUGAUACUGGAAAGCUCGAGUCCGGGAGAGGUGAGUGGAACUGCGAGUGUAGAGGUGAAAUUCGUAGAUAUUCGCAAGAACACCAGUGGCGAAGGCGGCUCACUGGCCCGGUACUGACGCUGAGGUGCGAAAGCGUGGGGAGCAAACAGG